rnacentral:rRNA from 1 species
GACGAACGCUGGCGGCGUGCCUAAUACAUGCAAGUGGGACGCAAGGGAACACACUGUGCUUGCACACCGUGUUUUCUUGAGUCGCGAACGGGUGAGUAACGCGUAGGUAACCUGCCUAUUAGCGGGGGAUAACUAUUGGAAACGAUAGCUAAUACCGCAUAAUAUUAAUUAUUGCAUGAUAAUUGAUUGAAAGAUGCAAGCGCAUCACUAGUAGAUGGACCUGCCUUGUAUUAGCUAGUUGGUAAGGUAAGAGCUUACCAAGGCGACGAUACAUAGCCGACCUGAGAGGGUGAUCGGCCACACUGGGACUGAGACACGGCCCAGACUCCUACGGGAGGCAGCAGUAGGGAAUCUUCGGCAAUGGACGAAAGUCUGACCGAGCAACGCCGCGUGAGUGAAGAAGGUUUUCGGAUCGUAAAGCUCUGUUGUAAGUCAAGAACGUGUGUGAGAGUGGAAAGUUCACACAGUGACGGAGCUACCAGAAAG